rnacentral:rRNA from 1 species
AUACGUAGGUGACAAGCGUUAUCCGGAUUUACUGGGCGUAAAGGGCGUGUAGGCGGUCUUGCAAGUCAGAAGUGAAAUUCCUGAGCUCAACUCGGGCGCUGCUUCUGAAACUGCAGGACUUGAGUGCUGGAGGGGAUAGCGGAAUUCCUAGUGGAGCGGUAAAAUGCGCAGAUAUUAGGAAGAACACCGGUGGCGAAGGCGGCUAUCUGGACUGCAACUGACGCUGAGGCGCGAAAGUGUGGGGAGCAAACAGGAUUAGAUACCCUGGUAGUCCACACUGUAAACGAUGAAUGCUAGGUGUAAGAGGUAUCGACCUCUUUUGUGCCGGAGUCAACACAAUAAGCAUUCCGCCUGGGGAGUACGGCCGCAAGGUUGAAACUCAAAUGAAUGGACGGGG